GACGAACGCUGGCGGCGUGCUUAACACAUGCAAGUCGAACGGUAAGGCCCUUCGGGGUACACGAGUGGCGAACGGGUGAGUAACACGUGGGUGAUCUGCCCUGCACUUCGGGAUAAGCCUGGGAAACUGGGUCUAAUACCGGAUAGGACCACUGCCUGCAUGGGUGGUGGUGGAAAGCUUUUGCGGUGUGGGAUGGGCCCGCGGCCUAUCAGCUUGUUGGUGGGGUGAUGGUCUACCAAGGCGACGACGGGUAGCCGGCCUGAGAGGGGGACCGGCCACACUGGGACUGAGGUACGGCCCAGACCCCUACGGGAGGCAGCAGUGGGGAAUAUUGCACAAUGGGCGCAAGCCUGAUGCAGCGACGCCGCGUGAGGGAUGACGGCCUUCGGGUUGUAAACCUCUUUCAGCACCGACGAAGCGCAAGUGACGGUAGGUGCAGAAGAAGGACCGGCCAACUACGUGCCAGCCGCCGCGGUAA
rnacentral:rRNA from 1 species